UUAAGCGACUAAGCGUACACGGUGGAUGCCCUGGCAGUCAGAGGCGAUGAAGGACGUGCUAAUCUGCGAUAAGCGUCGGUAAGGUGAUAUGAACCGUUAUAACCGGCGAUUUCCGAAUGGGGAAACCCAGUGUGUUUCGACACACUAUCAUUAACUGAAUCCAUAGGUUAAUGAGGCGAACCGGGGGAACUGAAACAUCUAAGUACCCCGAGGAAAAGAAAUCAACCGAGAUUCCCCCAGUAGCGGCGAGCGAACGGGGAGCAGCCCAGAGCCUGAAUCAGUAUGUGUGUUAGUGGAAGCGUCUGGAAAGGCGCGCGAUACAGGGUGACAGCCCCGUACACAAAAAUGCACAUAUUGUGAGCUCGAUGAGUAGGGCGGGACACGUGGUAUCCUGUCUGAAUAUGGGGGGACCAUCCUCCAAGGCUAAAUACUCCUGACUGACCGAUAGUGAACCAGUACCGUGAGGGAAAGGCGAAAAGAACCCCGGCGAGGGGAGUGAAAAAGAACCUGAAACCGUGUACGUACAAGCAGUGGGAGCACGCUUAGGCGUGUGACUGCGUACCUUUUGUAUAAUGGGUCAGCGACUUAUAUUCUGUAGCAAGGUUAACCGAAUAGGGGAGCCGAAGGGAAACCGAGUCUUAACUGGGCGUUAAGUUGCAGGGUAUAGACCCGAAACCCGGUGAUCUAGCCAUGGGCAGGUUGAAGGUUGGGUAACACUAACUGGAGGACCGAACCGACUAAUGUUGAAAAAUUAGCGGAUGACUUGUGGCUGGGGGUGAAAGGCCAAUCAAACCGGGAGAUAGCUGGUUCUCCCCGAAAGCUAUUUAGGUAGCGCCUCGUGAAUUCAUCUCCGGGGGUAGAGCACUGUUUCGGCAAGGGGGUCAUCCCGACUUACCAACCCGAUGCAAACUGCGAAUACCGGAGAAUGUUAUCACGGGAGACACACGGCGGGUGCUAACGUCCGUCGUGAAGAGGGAAACAACCCAGACCGCCAGCUAAGGUCCCAAAGUCAUGGUUAAGUGGGAAACGAUGUGGGAAGGCCCAGACAGCCAGGAUGUUGGCUUAGAAGCAGCCAUCAUUUAAAGAAAGCGUAAUAGCUCACUGGUCGAGUCGGCCUGCGCGGAAGAUGUAACGGGGCUAAACCAUGCACCGAAGCUGCGGCAGCGACACUGUGUGUUGUUGGGUAGGGGAGCGUUCUGUAAGCCUGUGAAGGUGUACUGUGAGGUAUGCUGGAGGUAUCAGAAGUGCGAAUGCUGACAUAAGUAACGAUAAAGCGGGUGAAAAGCCCGCUCGCCGGAAGACCAAGGGUUCCUGUCCAACGUUAAUCGGGGCAGGGUGAGUCGACCCCUAAGGCGAGGCCGAAAGGCGUAGUCGAUGGGAAACAGGUUAAUAUUCCUGUACUUGGUGUUACUGCGAAGGGGGGACGGAGAAGGCUAUGUUGGCCGGGCGACGGUUGUCCCGGUUUAAGCGUGUAGGCUGGUUUUCCAGGCAAAUCCGGAAAAUCAAGGCUGAGGCGUGAUGACGAGGCACUACGGUGCUGAAGCAACAAAUGCCCUGCUUCCAGGAAAAGCCUCUAAGCAUCAGGUAACAUCAAAUCGUACCCCAAACCGACACAGGUGGUCAGGUAGAGAAUACCAAGGCGCUUGAGAGAACUCGGGUGAAGGAACUAGGCAAAAUGGUGCCGUAACUUCGGGAGAAGGCACGCUGAUAUGUAGGUGAAGCGACUUGCUCGUGGAGCUGAAAUCAGUCGAAGAUACCAGCUGGCUGCAACUGUUUAUUAAAAACACAGCACUGUGCAAACACGAAAGUGGACGUAUACGGUGUGACGCCUGCCCGGUGCCGGAAGGUUAAUUGAUGGGGUUAGCGCAAGCGAAGCUCUUGAUCGAAGCCCCGGUAAACGGCGGCCGUAACUAUAACGGUCCUAAGGUAGCGAAAUUCCUUGUCGGGUAAGUUCCGACCUGCACGAAUGGCGUAAUGAUGGCCAGGCUGUCUCCACCCGAGACUCAGUGAAAUUGAACUCGCUGUGAAGAUGCAGUGUACCCGCGGCAAGACGGAAAGACCCCGUGAACCUUUACUAUAGCUUGACACUGAACAUUGAGCCUUGAUGUGUAGGAUAGGUGGGAGGCUUUGAAGUGUGGACGCCAGUCUGCAUGGAGCCGACCUUGAAAUACCACCCUUUAAUGUUUGAUGUUCUAACGUGGACCCGUGAUCCGGGUUGCGGACAGUGUCUGGUGGGUAGUUUGACUGGGGCGGUCUCCUCCUAAAGAGUAACGGAGGAGCACGAAGGUUGGCUAAUCCUGGUCGGACAUCAGGAGGUUAGUGCAAUGGCAUAAGCCAGCUUGACUGCGAGCGUGACGGCGCGAGCAGGUGCGAAAGCAGGUCAUAGUGAUCCGGUGGUUCUGAAUGGAAGGGCCAUCGCUCAACGGAUAAAAGGUACUCCGGGGAUAACAGGCUGAUACCGCCCAAGAGUUCAUAUCGACGGCGGUGUUUGGCACCUCGAUGUCGGCUCAUCACAUCCUGGGGCUGAAGUAGGUCCCAAGGGUAUGGCUGUUCGCCAUUUAAAGUGGUACGCGAGCUGGGUUUAGAACGUCGUGAGACAGUUCGGUCCCUAUCUGCCGUGGGCGCUGGAGAACUGAGGGGGGCUGCUCCUAGUACGAGAGGACCGGAGUGGACGCAUCACUGGUGUUCGGGUUGUCAUGCCAAUGGCACUGCCCGGUAGCUAAAUGCGGAAGAGAUAAGUGCUGAAAGCAUCUAAGCACGAAACUUGCCCCGAGAUGAGUUCUCCCUGACUCCUUGAGAGUCCUGAAGGAACGUUGAAGACGACGACGUUGAUAGGCCGGGUGUGUAAGCGCAGCGAUGCGUUGAGCUAACCGGUACUAAUGAACCGUGAGGCUUAACCUU
rnacentral:rRNA from 1 species